CGGGUGAGUAACACGUGAGCAACCUGCCCUCCACUUCGGGAUAAGCCUUGGAAACGGGGUCUAAUACCGGAUAUGAGCCUGCAUCGCAUGGUGUGGGUUGGAAAGUUUUUCGGUGGGGGAUGGGCUCGCGGCCUAUCAGCUUGUUGGUGGGGUGAUGGCCUACCAAGGCGUCGACGGGUAGCCGGCCUGAGAGGGCGACCGGCCACACUGGGACUGAGACACGGCCCAGACUCCUACGGGAGGCAGCAGUGGGGAAUAUUGCACAAUGGGCGCAAGCCUGAUGCAGCGACGCCGCGUGAGGGAUGACGGCCUUCGGGUUGUAAACCUCUUUCAGCAGGGAAGAAGCGCAAGUGACGGUACCUGCAGAAGAAGCGCCGGCUAACUACGUGCCAGCAGCCGCGGUAAUACGUAGGGCGCAAGCGUUGUCCGGAAUUAUUGGGCGUAAAGAGCUCGUAGGCGGUCUGUCGCGUCUGGUGUGAAAUCCCGAGGCUCAACCUCGGGCUUGCAUCGGGUACGGGCAGACUAGAGUGCGGUAGGGGAGACUGGAAUUCCUGGUGUAGCGGUGGAAUGCGCAGAUAUCAGGAGGAACACCGAUGGCGAAGGCAGGUCUCUGGGCCGCAACUGACGCUGA
rnacentral:rRNA from 1 species